rnacentral:rRNA from 1 species
AUGGCUCAGAUUAAACGCUGGCGGCAGGCCUAACACAUGCAAGUCGAGCGGUAGCACAAGAGAGCUUGCUCUCUGGGUGACGAGCGGCGGACGGGUGAGUAAUGUUUGGGAAACUGCCUGAUGGUGGGGGAUAACUAGUGGAAACGGUAGCUAAUACCGCAUAAUGUCGCAAGACCAAAGUGGGGGACCUUCGGGCCUCACGCCAUCAGAUGUGCCCAGAUGGGAUUAGCUGUUAGGUGGGGUAAUGGCUCACCUAGGCGACGAUCCCUAGCUGGUCUGAGAGGAUGACCAGCCACACUGGAACUGAGACACGGUCCAGACUCCUACGGGAGGCAGCAGUGGGGAAUAUUGCACAAUGGGCGCAAGCCUGAUGCAGCCAUGCCGCGUGUGUGAAGAAGGCCUUCGGGUUGUAAAGCACUUUCAGCGAGGAGGAAGGGUAAUGUG